CUUACAGAAAAGCUACUUCAUGGCUAAACUGUAGUUUUAUGAUAUGCAAGUGGACAGUGAGGGUACUUGGGAUUGUAUGAAGGGCAACUGGAGACAUGGAGUCUGGGAACCAAGACUAGAAUGAAUGAGUUGAUGGAAAAGACACUGACCCAGUGAGGAUAUGGCAGAAUUGAAUGUCCUAUUUGGAGACUGGAGCCUGGUAACAAAAACUGAGAAUGCUGCAAAGUCUGAUUUUGGGUCCUGAUAGAAAAACAUGACUCCUUAGGGGAGAACUGGAAGUCACACUUACUCUCUUAGGAAUAUAUGAAUUCUAUGUAUAGAAGACUAACCCAGUUCCCAAAUGUGUGACACUGUCAUCAUCUCCUGAUAUCUACAAGGACAAUAAAGAACCGUUUCCUGAGAAUUAUUCAUGACCUGGGCAAGUUGACAAAGACUCGGCAUCUCAGGCGACAGUCCCCAGGAUAUUCUGAGUGUGAAGAAAGAUGACUCACAGUAAAAAACAUCAUCCACUUGGAUCUGUUUCCUCUGACUUGACAGUUAAAAAGGAUCACUCUUCCUGGUUUGGAUCUUGUAGACCUUGAAGUAAGGUGUGUGAUAAAAACAUGAUAUAAAUUCUUGAGGUCAAUGGCCUAGAAAAUAGUCUCUUAGCUGGUCAGCUUUUGCUGUGAGGGGGUGCCCAAUUUUUUUUUUUUUUAUUUUUUUAAUGGCAUCAAUCAACUUUUGGAAGUUCUGGGAAAGGAAUCCUCAUAAGUGGACAUUCCUCUUCUCUGGCUUUAUCUUUGGUUGAAAUUCUAUGCUUCUGUGGUUUCUCAUCUGAUUUCUAGUCUGUGGCCAUUUCUUAUCUCCUUUGCUAAAGCAAGAAAGGUCUGUGCAA
rnacentral:lncRNA from 1 species